GGGGUUGUAGCUCAGAGGUAGAGCACUUGUCUAGCAUGCGUGAGGCCCUGGGUUCGAUCCUCACUCAGCACCA
rnacentral:tRNA from 1 species